rnacentral:rRNA from 1 species
GCGGUUUUCUAGGUUGUCUCUGACGCUUAAGCCCGAAGGCGUGGGGAGCAAACGGGAUCAGAUACCCUGGUAGUCCACGCAGUAAACUAUGGAUACUGGGUAUAGGGAGUAUCGACUCUCUCUGUGCCGAAGCUAACGCGUUAAGUAUCCCGUCUGGGAAGUACGGCCGCAAGGCUAAAACUCAAAAGAAUUGACGGGGGCCCGCACAAGCAGCGGAGCGUGUGGUUUAAUUCGAUGCAAAACGAAGAACCUUACCAAGGCUUGACAUGAUAGAAGUAGCGAACCGAAAGGGGAACGACCUGUUGAGUCAGGAGCUACCACAGGUGCUGCAUGGCUGUCGUCAGCUCGUGCCGUGAGGUGUUUGGUUAAGUCCUGCAACGAGCGCAACCCUCGUUGCCAGUUGUAUUCUCUGGCGAGACUGCCCUGCAAAACAGGGAGGAAGGUGAGGAUGACGUCAAGUCAGCACGGCCUUUAUGCCUUGGGCUACACACACGCUACAAUGGGUGGUACAAAGGGUAGCAAUAGAGCGAUCUGGAGCGAAUCCUGAAAACCAUCCUCAGUUCAGAUUGCAGGCUGAAACCCGCCUACAUGAAGUCGGAGUUGCUAGUAACCGCAGGUCAGCAUACUGCGGUGAAUACGUUCUCGGGCCUUGUACACACCGCCCGUCACGUCAUGAAAGUCGGCAACACCUGAAGUCGAUGGGCUAACCCGCAAGGGGGGCAGUCGCCGAAGGUGAGGCUGGUGAUUGGGACGAAGUCGUAACAAGGUAACCGUA